rnacentral:rRNA from 1 species
UACAGAGGGGCGAGCGUUGUUCGGAAUUACUGGGCGUAAAGGGCGCGUAGGCGGCCCGCUAAGUCGAACGUGAAAUCCCCAGGCUCAACCUGGGAACUGCGUCCGAUACUGGCAGGCUUGAAUCCGGGAGAGGGAUGUGGAAUUCCAGGUGUAGCGGUGAAAUGCGUAGAUAUCUGGAGGAACACCGGUGGCGAAGGCGGCAUCCUGGACCGGUAUUGACGCUGAGGCGCGAAAGCUAGGGGAGCAAACGGG